rnacentral:sRNA from 1 species
GUUUUAAGGAGCUUUGCCAAAACAAUUUCUUCAAUACACCAGAUUGACAAGCGAAAAUUGGAUGUAGCUGUUCCUCCCGGGAAAUGCAGCUGUUCCUCCCCAUCCAUGGUAUCUGAUCUUAGUAACUACAACAGUGGAAAUUAAAAUAUGCAUUUAUAUGGCAUUUUCUUGUCGUAUUUGUUUUUUCUUAUUAAUUCCUCGCAUUUCCCAUUUUCAAUGGGUUCAGUGUAUAAUUAGGUAUAAUGAGAAAUAUAUACAGGCGG